UACAGAGGUCUCAAGCGUUGUUCGGAUUCAUUGGGCGUACAGGGUGUGUAGGAGGUCGGGUAAGUCAGGUGUGAAAUCUCACAGCUUAACUGUGAAACUGCGCUUGAUACUGCCCGGCUAGAGGAUCGGAGGGGGUAACGGAAUUUAUGGUGUAGCAGUGAAAUGCGUAGAUAUCAUAAGGAACACCGGUGGCGAAGGCGGUUACCUGGAAGAUUCCUGACUCUGAAACACGAAAGCCAGGGGAGCAAACGGG
rnacentral:rRNA from 1 species